rnacentral:rRNA from 1 species
GAUGAACGCUGGCGGCGUGCUUAACACAUGCAAGUCGAACGAGGUCCAACCUUCGGGUGAAGACCGAGUGGCGAACGGGUGAGUAACACGUGGGCAAUCUACCCUUCUCUCUGGGAUAACCCCCGGAAACGGGAGCUAAUACCGGAUACUUCGUGCUGAUCGCAUGGUCGGCCCGAGAAAGCUCCGGCGGAGAAGGAUGAGCCCGCGGCCCAUUAGCUUGGUGGUGGGGUAAUGGCCCACCAAGGCGACGAUGGGUAGCCGAGCUGAGAGGCUGAUCGGCCACACUGGGACUGAGACACGGCCCAGACUCCUACGGGAGGCAGCAGUGGGGAAUCUUGCGCAAUGGGCGAAAGCCUGACGCAGCAACGCCGCGUGCGGGAUGAAGGCCUUCGGGUUGUAAACCGCUUUCAGCAGGGACGAAAUUGACUGUACCUGCAGAAGAAGCUCCGGCUAACUACGUGCCAGCCGCCGCCGUAAAAC